rnacentral:rRNA from 1 species
GAUGAACGCUGGCGGCGUGCUUAACACAUGCAAGUCGAACGGGAAACCUUUUAUUGAAGCUUCGGCAGAUUUAGCUGAUUUCUAGUGGCGGACGGGUGAGUAACGCGUGGGUAACCUGCCUUAUACAGGGGGAUAACAACCAGAAAUGGUUGCUAAUACCGCAUAAGCGCACAGGACCGCAUGGUCCGGUGUGAAAAACUCCGGUGGUAUAAGAUGGACCCGCGUUGGAUUAGCUAGUUGGCAGGGUAACGGCCUACCAAGGCGACGAUCCAUAGCCGGCCUGAGAGGGUGAACGGCCACAUUGGGACUGAGACACGGCCCAGACUCCUACGGGAGGCAGCAGUGGGGAAUAUUGCACAAUGGGGGAAACCCUGAUGCAGCGACGCCGCGUGAAGGAAGAAGUAUCUCGGUAUGUAAACUUCUAUCAGCAGGGAAGAUAGUGACGGUACCUGACUAAGAAGCCCCGGCUAACUACGUG